rnacentral:lncRNA from 1 species
CCAGGUUUCUGCAAUCUACUACAGCCCUCACUGGUGAGUGAAAAAGCAGAGACCGUGCUUUCCAGCGCAAUCCGUGCGGCACCUUUGGCCACUGCUGGUACUGUCUGCAUGAAAGCACACAAGCAGACCACAGGCAUUGGCAGACCUGCUGCUGCACUAUUACGCAUUUCAACUCAGAGGUCACAGAACCAGCUGCACACUUYGGUCUGUGGAGGGAGAGAACGAUAUGGGUCCAUGCUGGAAACCUGAAAGUCCAAGGCUUGGUCUAAUAAUGAAGACUCGGAAAAAGAAAUGAAGGARAAUUUGGAUGGAUUUUUUUUCGCCCAAACCAAAUUUGAUACCGGGAUUUCUGGACUUGUGGAAUAUUUAGAGAAGCUGAGAGCAGUUUGUGCAGCGUUUGGACAAGCACUAACC